rnacentral:tRNA from 1 species
GCCGGGAUGAUGGAAUUGGUAGACAUGCUUGGCUUAGAACCAAGUGCCAUUCGGUGUGCAGGUUCGAGUCCUGUUCCCGGUA